GUGUUAACGUUCUCUUCGUUUUGAAUCCCUUUUAAUUUUGUUCACAUCACUCAAUUUUCUAUUUUUUUUGCAUUCCUGAGGAUGACGGUGAUGAGAGGAGCCACGGCGGUGGCAACGGCUGAGAGGAAGAGGAACAGUCUGGAUGAGGCGCUGAUAGGAAAAGGGAGAAAGAAGAGAACGCCUUAAUCGCAUCCCUUAGAUUCAUUGUUGCUAGGGUUUUCUAUUUUAUGCUCGAUCGUUUGCUACGGAUGUAGCUGAAGAAGUUAAGCAGAUUCAUAAUGUUAUGGGAGCUGGUGUAGAUGUUACCUUUGAUUGUGCUGGUUUUAACAAAACCAUUACUACAGCAUUGAAUGCUACUCAACCAGGUGGCAAAGUUUGUCUAGUUGGAAUGGGACAUUCCGAAAUGACUGUGCCACUCACACCAGCUGCUGCAAGGUAAUCCGACUUCGUCCAAAAGUAUGUACCAAAGAUACUUACAGGGACUAAAACUAAAGUGUUAUAUUAGCAGGGACUAACAUCAUAUCAUAUUUAAACCAAAAUUAAAUAAAAUGUUAUAUACUGACAAAAUGUAUAUAAUGUGACUAUAUUAUAGACCCCUUUAAAAUAUUUACAUAAAUUAAGAAAAAUAAGUAUGUGUGUAUAUAAUGUGAUUAUUCAUAGUGAUGCAUGGAUGGAUAUAUAAUCUUAAUGACCCUAGUCCCUGAAUGUGAAAGUUAGUUGUUGCCUUAAUUGCUACUCAAGCAAUUGUCUAGAUCGGUGUCUGAUUUUGUAUUAAAAAAAUUAUGAAUUUUUAUUCAUAGUGAUGCAUGAAUGUAUAUAUAUAUAUAUUCUGCUUUGAUGACCCUUAGUCCCUAAAUUCAAUUAUGCAACUGUGAUUAAUAGAAAAGUUUUGUAAAGGUUGGAUGCCUCAAUGACCUUUGAGAAAAAUGCAUUAUGAAUUCCUUAUUCAUAAUGGAAAAAUAGGAUGGUGGCUGUACAAUUGAUUUUGCAUUAUGAACUUAAUGACCCUUGUCCCAAAUGUUAUAUACCAAUUGGAAAUGUUGGAAGAACUUGAUGACCCUAGUCCCUGAAUAUGAAAGCUAGUUGUUGCCUUAAUUGCUACUAAAACAAUUGUCUUGAUCGGUGUCCGCUUUUCUAUUAAAAAAAAUUAUGAAUUUUUAUUCAUAGUGACGCAUGAAUGGAUAUAUAUUCUUAAUGACCCUAGUCCCUGAAUAUGAAAGCUAGUUGUUGCCUUAAUUGCUCCUCAAGCAAUUGUCUCGAUUGGUGUCCGCUUUUCUAUUAAAAAAUAUUAUGAAUUUUUAUUCAUAGUCAUGCAUGAAUGGAGACAUAUUCUUAAUGACCCUAGUCCCUGAAUGUGAAAGCUAGUUGUUACCUUAAUUGCUACUCAAGCAAUUGUCUCUAUAGGUGUCCUCGUUUCUAUUAAAAAAUAUUAUGAAUUUUUAUCCAUAAUAAUGCAUGAAUGGGUACAGAUUCUGCUUUGAUGACCCUUAGUCCCUAAAUUCAAUUAUGCAACUGCAAUUAAUGGAAAAGUUUUGUAAGGGUUGGAUGCCUCAAUGACCUUUGAGAAAAAUGCAAUAUGAAUUCUUUAUUCAUAAUGGAAAAAUAGGAUUGUGGCUUUAGAAUUCAUUUUGCAUUAUGAGCUUAAUGACCCUUGUCCCAAAUGUUACAUACGUUGGAAAUGUUGAAUGAACUUAAUGACCCUAGUCCCUGAAUAUGAAAGCUAGUUGUUGCCUUAAUUGCUACUCAAGCAAUUGUCUCGAUCGGUGUCUGCUUUUCUAUUAAAAAAGUUAUGAAUUUUUAUUCAUAGAGAUGCAUGAAUGGAUAUAUAUUCUUAAUGACCCUAGUCCCUCAUAUGAAAGCUAGUUGUUACCUUAAUUGCUACUCAAGCAAUUGUCUUUGUUGGUGUCCACUUUUGUAUUUAAAAAAAUUAUGAAUUUUUAUUCAAAGUGAUGUAUGAAUGGAUAUAUAUUCUUAAUGACCCUAGUCCCUGAAUGUGAAAGCUAGUUGUUGCCUUAAUUGCUACUCAAGCAAUUGUCUCGAUCGGUGUCUGCUUUUGUAUUAAAAAAAAUUAUGAAUUUUUAUUCAUAGUGAUGCAUGAAUGGAUAUAUAUUCUGCUUUGAUGACCCUUAGUCCCUAAAUUCAAUUUUGCAACUGAAAUUAGAAGUGAUUUUGCAUUAUGAACUUAAUGACCCUUGUCCCUAAUGUUAAAUAAGUUUUGUAAGGGAUGGAUGCCUCAACGACCUUUGAGGAAAAUGCAUUAUGAAUUCAUUAUGAAUUCUUUAUUGAUGAUGGCUUUAGAAGUGAUUUUGCAUCAUUGACUUAAUGACUCUUGUCCCAAAUGUUACAUAAGUUUUGUAAGGAAUGGAUGCCUCAAUGACCAUUGAGGAAAAUGCAUUAUGAAUUCUUUAUUCAUAAUAGAAAAGUUGGAUGGUGGCUUUAGAAGUGAUUUUGCAUUAUUGACUUAAUGACCCUUGUCCCAAAUGUUACAUAAGUUUUGUAAGGGAUGAAUGCCUCAAUGACCAUUGAGGAAAAUGCAUUAUGAAUUCUUUAUUCAUAAUGGAAAAGUUCGAUUGUGGCUUUAGAAGUGAUUUUGCAUUAUGGACUUAAUGACCCUUGUCCCAAAUGUUACAUAAGUUUUGCAGGGUAUGGAUGCCUCAAUGACCUUUCUGGAAAAUGCAUUAUGAAUUCUUUAUUCAUAAUGGAAAAGUUCGAUGGUGGCUUUCAAAGCAAAGCAAUUUUAAUAUGAAAUUUUACUCAAAAUGUGGAUGGUGUCGGUUGUCUUUUUAUGACCGUAAUUGUGAAACUGUCACUAGUGGUAUGGUAUACAUGUUCAAGAUUCUAAUAGCAACCAUGUAUUCUACCAAAUUACCCAACUACAUCCCAUUUUAAUGGUAUGACGUGGAGAACUAGUUGAUUCUUAUUGGAUGUCAGUGUAACAUUAAUUUACACUGACAAAACAUAUCCAAUAAACUCAAAUUGAAAGUUGAACUGUGGUAAUUUUCAUCGGCGGCAGAUUGCUGAAGGCCAAAAAUAUUCCAACCACACCAACGUGGCAAGUCACCUGUAGCGGUUGACCAAAAAUCUGUCACGCUACAGUGGUGCCAUCGGCCUUAUUCAACAACACUGACACCGAGUACAUUGAUUGUGCAACUUCGUCAUUAAUCGAAUGCAAAGAAUCCAAAUGUAAUAUUUAUGUUAAAUCAUUGGCUUACUUAAUUUUUUAUGUUUGAAGGACCUCAUGAUGUCAGAAUUAGAAUGAUAGCUGUUGGAAUCUGUGGGAGUGAUGUUCACUACCUCAAGACAAUGAGAUGUGCAGAUUUUAUAGUUAAAGAACCGAUGGUUAUUGGUCACGAGUGUGCUGGGAUCAUAGAAGAAGUCGGUAGUCAGAUACAGACUUUGGUGCCUGGUGACCGUGUGGCAAUCGAGCCUGGGAUUAGUUGUUGGCCUUGUGACCAUUGCAAACUUGGUCGAUAUAAUCUUUGCCCUGAGAUGAAGUUUUUUGCUACUCCACCAGUUCAUGGUUCCUUGGCUAAUCAGAACAUGGCUGCAUGGCUUGUUGGUUUAAACACUCUCAAGAUUCAACCUUUCAAUCUUCCUUCUCUUGGACCACAUGAUAUCAGAAUUAGAAUGAAAGCUGUUGGAAUCUGUGGGAGUGAUGUUUACUACCUCAAGACAAUGAGAUGUGCAGAUUUUAAAGUUAAAGAACCAAUGGUUAUUGGUCACGAGUGUGCUGGGAUCAUAGAAGAAGUCGGUAGUCAGGUACAGACUUUGGUGCCUGGUGAUCGUGUGGCGAUCGAGCCUGGGAUCAGUUGUUGGCGAUGUGACCAUUGCAAACUUGGUCGAUAUAAUCUUUGCGCUGAGAUGAAGUUUUUUGCUACUCCACCAGUUCAUGGGUCCUUGGCUAAUCAGAUAGUACAUCCAGCAGACCUAUGUUUUAAAUUACCAGACAACGUGAGUUUGGAGGAAGGGGCAAUGUGUGAACCAUUAAGUGUCAGCGUUCAUGCGUGUAGGCGAGCUAGUAUCAGACCAGAAACAAAUGUGUUGAUUAUGGGAGAAGGACCUAUCGGACUUGUUACAAUGCUUUCAGCUCGCGCUUUUGGUGCACCUAGGAUUGUCGUUGUGGAUGUGGACGACCAUCGUUUAUCUGUUGCAAAAAGUCUCGGUGCAGAUGAUAUUGUUAAAGUUUCAACAAACAUUCAGGACCCGAUGAUAUCAGAAUUAGAGUGAAAGCGGUUGGAAUCUGUGGGAGUGAUGUUCACUACCUCAAGGUUGGUAUUGUUACUGUUACAUCCGAUUUCAAUAUUUAAAAAUAAAUAAAAUAUACAUUUAGAUUCGACAAUGAGAUGUGCCGAUUUUAUAGUUAAAGAACCGAUGGUUAUUGGUCAUGAGUGUGCUGGGAUCAUAGAAGAAGUUGGUAGUCAGGUACAGAGUGGUGCCUGGUGCCCGUGUGGCGAUGGAGCCUGGGAUCAGCUGUUGGCAUUGUGACCAUUGCAAACUUGGUCGAUAUAAUCUUUUCCCUGAGAUGAAGUUUUUUGCUACUCCACCAGUUCAUGGUUCCUUCGCU